rnacentral:rRNA from 1 species
UACGGAGGGUGCGAGCGUUGUCCGGAAUCACUGGGCGUAAAGCGUGUGUAGGCUGCCCUGCAAGUCGGAUGUGAAAGCCCUGGGCUCAACCUGGGAAGUGCAUUCGAAACUGCGGGGCUGGAGUCCUGGAGAGGAAGGCGGAAUUCUCGGUGUAGAGGUGAAAUUCGUAGAUAUCGAGAGGAACACCGGUGGCGAAGGCGGCCUUCUGGACAGUGACUGACGCUGAGACACGAAAGCGUGGGGAGCAAACAGG